rnacentral:rRNA from 1 species
CUCCUACGGGAGGCAGCAGUGAGGAAUAUUGGACAAUGGAGGCGACUCUGAUCCAGCCAUGCCGCGUGCAGGAUGACGGCCCUAUGGGUUGUAAACUGCUUUUAUGUAGGAAGAAACACUCUCACGUGUGGGAGCUUGACGGUACUACAAGAAUAAGGACCGGCUUUCUCCGUGCCAGCAGCCGCGGAAU